GCGCAAGCCUGAUGCAGCGACGCCGCGUGAGGGAUGACGGCCUUCGGGUUGUAAACCUCUGUUAGCAUCGAAGAAGCGAAAGUGACGGUAGGUGCAGAGAAAGCGCCGGCUAACUACGUGCCAGCAGCCGCGGUAAUACGUAGGGCGCGAGCGUUGUCCGGAAUUAUUGGGCGUAAAGAGCUUGUAGGCGGUUGGUCGCGUCUGCUGUGAAAGGCUGGGGCUUAACCCUGGUUUUGCAGUGGGUACGGGCUAACUAGAGUACAGUAGGGGAGACUGGAAUUCCUGGUGUAGCGGUGGAAUGCGCAGAUAUCAGGAGGAACACCGAUGGCGAAGGCAGGUCUCUGGGCUGUAACUGACGCUGAGAAGCGAAAGCAUGGGGAGCGAACAGGAUUAGAUACCCUGGUAGUCCAUGCCGUAAACGUUGGGCACUAGGUGUGGGGGACAUUCCACGUUUUCCGCGCCGUAGCUAACGCAUUAAGUGCCCGCCUGGGGAGUACGGCCGCAGGCUAAAACUCAAAGAAAUUGACGGGGGCCCGCACAAGCGGCGGAGCAUGCGGAUUAAUUCGAUGCAACGCGAAGAACCU
rnacentral:rRNA from 1 species